GGCCCCUUGGUCAAGAGGUUAAGACACCGCCCUUUCACGGCGGAGACACGAGUUCGAUUCUCGUAGGGGUCACCA
rnacentral:tRNA from 1 species